AUUGAACGCUGGCGGCAGGCCUAACACAUGCAAGUCGAACGGUAGCACAGAGAGCUUGCUCUCGGGUGACGAGUGGCGGACGGGUGAGUAAUGUCUGGGAAACUGCCCGAUGGAGGGGGAUAACUACUGGAAACGGUAGCUAAUACCGCAUAACGUCGCAAGACCAAAGUGGGGGACCUUCGGGCCUCACACCAUCGGAUGUGCGCAGAUGGGAUUAGCUAGUAGGUGGGGUAAUGGCUCACCUAGGCGACGAUCCCUAGCUGGUCUGAGAGGAUGACCAGCCACACUGGAACUGAGACACGGUCCAGACUCCUACGGGAGGCAGCAGUGGGGAAUAUUGCACAAUGGGCGCAAGCCUGAUGCAGCCAUGCCGCGUGUAUGAAGAAGGCCUUCGGGUUGUAAAGUACUUUCAGCGGGGAGGAAGGCGGUGAAGUUAAUAGCUUCACCGAUUGACGUUACCCGCAGAAGAAGCACCGACUAACUCCGUGCCAGCCGCCGCAGUAA
rnacentral:rRNA from 1 species